GUGGACAGUGAGAGAGAGAGACAGAGAGAAAGGUUUUCCUUUGCCGUUGGUUCACCCUCCAAUGGCCGCCGCAGCCAACGCGCUGCAGCCAGCGCACCACGCUGAUCCAAAGGCAGGAGCCAGGUGCUUCUCCUGGUCUCCCAUGGGGUGCAGGGCCCAAGCACUUGGGCCAUCCUCCACUGCACUCCCGGGCCACAGCAGAGGGCUGGCCUGGAAGAGGGGCAACCGGGACAGAAUCCGGCGCCCCGACCGGGACUAGAACCCGGUGUGCCAGCGCCACAAGGCUGAGGAUUAGCCUAGUGAGCCACGGCGCCGGCCUGCUAAACCCACUUUCUAGAGAAAUGAGGCUCAAAGAGAUGACAGAACCAGCCCAGGGCACACACCUAGCAAGCAGACAACAACCCAAACACGAGCUCAUCUGUGUCCACUGCUGUGCGUGCUUGGGGUCCCACUGCCAGAGGCCUUGGCAAAGGACAGCCCAGCAGACUGCAGCCACAGUCUCAUGUGCAUUUGGGAAACAGCUCUGUCGCGAGAACGAUGUCAGACCCUCAAGUUCAGCUGACUCAGAGAAGUGUCCCUGCAGGUGAAGACUGGCCAGGUAGAGGUUCCAAGCCCCCACUGCGCAGGUAGGGGACAGUAGAGGAAGGGCUGGCCUGGAGAGGCGGCUUGGGGCAUGUGUGCCACAGGGAGCUACAGGAGGUUUGGGAGAAGGGAGGGUCCAGUGUGACCCACUGCUUAAACAACAAUGGGCUUCAGGGGUUGGGACUGCACAGCCAGAUGCCCAGUGCCCUUUCCUCCUCUCAAAGCCACCAAAACAUGGUGUGCAAGCUCUUCUGUUGUUGCUGCAAGGACAGAGAGGAGGCUCCUGACACUGUGGUCUCCUCCACCCCACGAAUGUCCCAACAGCAUCAUCCACGGACCUUCAAUCUGAACACAGAUUCUCGCCGAAGGAGUGCACAGCAGAGAUGCCCACGCCACUCACCCAAAAAGAAGAAGGGUUGCAACUUGGGAAGACCCUGAACCUUCUAGUGGGUGGCCCCCAAGCCUGCCCCUGAGCUGUGCAGCUGCUGGGCGUAUCCACAAGGAAGAGCCGGUGGGCAGGAGUCAUGAAGACGGAUUCACAAACUCCCCUGGAGGAGAAGACGUCUGAGCCACCCCUGUGCACCUGCAGGAGCGCCUCCAGCUUCUGAAACGGCCAGAGCCGCAGAGGAGCUGCUUCCCAUUAAAGUCCUUGGUCCAUCAA